AUUGAACGCUGGCGGCAGGCCUAACACAUGCAAGUCGAACGAGUGGCGGACGGGUGAGUAAUGUCUGGGAAACUGCCCGAUGGAGGGGGAUAACUACUGGAAACGGUAGCUAAUACCGCAUACCAUCGGAUGUGCCCAGAUGGGAUUAGCUAGUAGGUGGGGAAACGGCUCACCUGGGCGACGAUCCCUAGAUGGUCUGAGAGGAUGACCAGCCAAACUGGACCGGCGCCACGGUCCAUACGCAAACGGAAGGAAGCAGUGGGGAAUAUGACAAAAUGGGCGAAAGCCUGAAGAGGCAAUGCGGGGUGGAGGAAGAAGGCCUUCGGGUUUAAAAUUACUGUCAGCGAGGAGGCGUUACCGGAAGAGGAAGCACCGGCUAACUCCGUGCCAGCAGCCGCGGUAAUAC
rnacentral:rRNA from 1 species